UCCGGUGGUUCUGAAUGGAAGGGCCAUCGCUCAACGGAUAAAAGGUACUCCGGGGAUAACAGGCUGAUACCGCCCAAGAGUUCAUAUCGACGGCGGUGUUUGGCACCUCGAUGUCGGCUCAUCACAUCCUGGGGCUGAAGUAGGUCCCAAGGGUAUGGCUGUUCGCCAUUUAAAGUGGUACGCGAGCUGGGUUUAGAACGUCGUGAGACAGUUCGGUCCCUAUCUGCCGUGGGCGCUGGAGAACUGAGGGGGGCUGCUCCUAGUACGAGAGGACCGGAGUGGACGCAUCACUGGUGUUCGGGUUGUCAUGCCAAUGGCACUGCCCGGUAGCUAAAUGCGGAAGAGAUAAGUGCUGAAAGCAUCUAAGCACGAAACUUGCCCCGAGAUGAGUUCUCCCUGAGACUUAAAGUCUCCUGAAGGAACGUUGAAGACGACGACGUUGAUAGGCCGGGUGUGUAAGCGCAGCGAUGCGUUGAGCUAACCGGUACUAAUGAACCGUGAGGCUUAACCUUACAACGCCGAA
rnacentral:rRNA from 1 species